rnacentral:misc_RNA from 1 species
GAUGAAGAACGUAGUGAAAUGCGAUAAGUAAUGUGAAUUGCAGAAUUCAGUGAAUCAUCGAAUCUUUGAACGCACAUUGCGCCCGCCAGUAUUCUGGCGGGCAUGCCUGUUCGAGCGUCAUUUCAACCAUCAAGCCCCCGGCUUGUGUUGGGGACCUGCGGCUGCCGCAGGCCCUGAAAACCAGUGGCGGGCUCGCUAGUCACUCCGAGCGUAGUAAUACAUCUCGCUCAGGGCGUGCUGCGGGUUCCGGCCGUUAAAAAGCCUUAUUUACCCAAGGUUGACCUCGGAUCAGGUAGGAAGACCCGCUGAUCUUAAGCAUAUCAAUAAGCGGAGGA